UCUGACACAUCCCAUCAUAGUAAGGUCUAAAUAGAUUGUAAAGGGCCCACAUGAGUUUCCAAGCCUAACUGAAGAAUUUAAUUUCCUUUCAGUUGACCUGUGUUUGACUUCUCUUGUUCUACUCUUGAACUUCCCAAAGGCCACUGUCACCAGAACUCAAGACCAGGAUCUGAAAGUAACCUGGCCACACAAAGGCAUAUAAAACACUACCACCCGUUCACAGACUCACUCCACUUUAUAUUUGUGGGAAACGAUCCUAGAAGCUGAAACACGUUCAGAGUUCAACAGUCUGGGAAAUUUAAAAGAGGGAGGAAAAAAGCCCUUCAUCCAAGGAUCUGAGGACAGAACUCUGCUCUUUGAGGAUGGGAGGAGGCAAGAAGACCCUAUUCAUGGCUGCAAGAGAGGAAAAGAGCCCCAGAAGGAAACUACCAGCAGAUGACAGGAAUCUCCGCCAAAGAGUUGCAAGAAAUUGGCAGAGAUUAUACUGGUUGGUGGCAAAUUCAGUUCUGGAACCCAAGACAUCUAUUUCUCAGUUCAAUGUGUAUUCUGUUUUAGCACCCACGGACAUUUCCGUGAUAAGCAAAGUCCAAUUCUAGAAGACCUUUCUCAUAGUGAUCUUCCCUCUUGAGUUCUUGUAAGAGGAUAGAAUCUCUGACUGGUCUGUGAAUGUUUGUAGAUAUUCUUUAUAGCUAAGGUUUCAAGUUUAAAUAUUUUGGGUUAAUUUUUGUUCUAAGCCCCUGGGGAUUGUGCUUAGAUUAUAUAGCUAUCACACAAUUUGGCCCAGCUGGGAUCCUCUUUUCAUGAAAUAGCAAGGAAGACUGGUACAUGGGGAUUAAGAAGCAUUGGCAAAAGAGAACAGUCUUAAUACAAUAACUUCCCACUCUGAGCCUUUCUGGCCUAAGAAUUUCUCCUGGCCUUAACUGAAGAGAGGGGUGUGUGUGUGUGCUAAGUCUCUUCAGUCGUGUCUGAUGCUUUGCAGCCUCAUAGACUGUAGCCUGCCAGGCUCCUCUGCCCACAGAAUUCUCCAGGCAAACAUUACUGGAGUGGGUUGCUAUGCCCUCCCCCAGGGGAAUCUUCCUGACCCGGGGAUCACACCCAUCUCUCUCACAUCUCCUGCACUGGCAGGUGGGUUCUUUACUGAUAGCACUGGAAGAGAGGGGUAGAUAGAAGCAAAAAGGGAUUUUUAUCUUCUUAGUGAAAGGAGAUAUACCAAAACAGUUCAGAACUUCUCAAUUUGUUGAAAUCUUGAUUUUGCUUAGUUUAAGUUUAUAUAAUACUAAUUAUAUCCUUGUCUGACUGACCUAUACAUUCAUAGAUCAUUUUUUCCAGUGGGUACGUAUGUUUGCUAACAAAAACUAUUCUCAAUCAACUAUUGUAAAAAAUGUUAUUUUUUGCUAUUGUUUUUUUUCUUAAGAAAGUUAAUCAGUAAUUCAUGACUACUUUAGCAAUAAAGUCUCCUAAAUUUUGCAUUUUUA